UACGAAGGGUGCAAGCGUUAUUCGGAAUCACUGGGCGUAAAGGGUGCGUAGACGGUAGAUUAAGUUCGUUGUUAAAGGCUCCGGCCUAACUGGAGUAUUGCAAUGAAAACUGGUCUGCUAGAGGGUGAGAGAGAGAAGUGGAAUUCCCGGAGUAGCGGUAAAAUGCGUGGAUCUCGGGAGGAACACCAAUGGCGAAGGCAGCUUCUUGGCUCAUUCCUGACGUUGAGGCACGAAAGCGUGGGGAGCAAACAGG
rnacentral:rRNA from 1 species